CCUACGGGUGGCAGCAGUGAGGAAUAUUGGUCAAUGGCCGGAAGGCUGAACCAGCCAAGCCGCGUGAAGGACGAAGGUGCCAAGCAUUGUAAACUUCUUUUGUCAAGGGACAAAAUCAGGCUCGAGAGCCUGACCGAGGGUACUUGAAGAAAAAGCAUCGGCUAACUCCGUGCCAGCAGCCGCGGUAAUACGGAGGAUGCGAGCGUUAUCCGGAUUUAUUGGGUUUAAAGGGUGCGUAGGCGGAGCGUUAAGUCAGUGGUCAAAUUGAGGGGCUCAACCCCUUCCCGCCAUUGAAACUGGCGCUCUUGAGUGGAAGAGAAGUAUGCGGAAUGCGUGGUGUAGCGGUGAAAUGCAUAGAUAUCACGCAGAACCCCGAUUGCGAAGGCAGCAUGCCGGCUUCCGACUGACGCUGAAGCACGAAAGCGUGGGGAUCGAACAGGAUUAGAUACCCUGGUAGUC
rnacentral:rRNA from 1 species